rnacentral:rRNA from 1 species
CCUACGGGUGGCAGCAGUGGGGAAUAUUGCGCAAUGGGCGAAAGCCUGACGCAGCGACGCCGCGUGAGGGAUGAAGGUCUUCGGAACGUAAACCUCUGUCAGCAGGGAAGAACGGUCACUGUGCUAAUCAGCAGUGAAUUGACGGUACCUGCAAAGGAAGCACCGGCUAACUCCGGGCCAGCAGCUGCGGUAAUACGGAGGGUGCGAGCGUUAAUCGGAAUUACUGGGCGUAAAGCGAUCGUAGGCGGUAGGUCAAGUCAAGGGUGAAAUCCCCGCGCUCAACGUGGGAACUGCCUUUGAAACUGGCAGACUGGAGUGUGUGAGAGGAUAGUGGAAUUCCAGGUGUAGGAGUGAAAUCCGUAGAUAUCUGGAGGAACAUCAGUGGCGAAGGCGACUAUCUGGCACAUAACUGACGCUGAGGAGCGAAAGCGUGGGUAGCAAACAGGAUUAGAUACCCGGGUAGUC